GUCGUAACAAGGUCUCCGUAGGUGAACCUGCGGAGGGAUCAUUACACAAAUAUGAAGGCGGGCUGGAACCUCUCGGGGUUACAGCCUUGCUGAAUUAUUCACCCUUGUCUUUUGCGUACUUCUUGUUUCCUUGGUGGGUUCGCCCACCACUAGGACAAACAUAAACCUUUUGUAAUUGCAAUCAGCGUCAGUAACAAAUUAAUAAUUACAACUUUCAACAACGGAUCUCUUGGUUCUGGCAUCGAUGAAGAACGCAGCGAAAUGCGAUAAGUAGUGUGAAUUGCAGAAUUCAGUGAAUCAUCGAAUCUUUGAACGCACAUUGCGCCCUUUGGUAUUCCAAAGGGCAUGCCUGUUCGAGCGUCAUUUGUACCCUCAAGCUUUGCUUGGUGUUGGGCGUCUUGUCUCUAGCUUUGCUGGAGACUCGCCUUAAAGUAAUUGGCAGCCGGCCUACUGGUUUCGGAGCGCAGCACAAGUCGCACUCUCUAUCAGCAAAGGUCUAGCAUCCAUUAAGCCUUUUUUUCAACUUUUGACCUCGGAUCAGGUAGGGAUACCCGCUGAACUUAAGCAUA
rnacentral:rRNA from 1 species